rnacentral:rRNA from 1 species
AACGGGUGAGUAACGCGUGGGUAAUCUACCCUGGAGUUGGGAAUAACAUCUCGAAAGGGGUGCUAAUACCUAAUAAAAUCUUCUCCGGUAAAGAGGUGCUCAAGGAUGAGCCCGCGUACCAUUAGCUAGUUGGCGGGGUAAUGGCCCACCAAGGCAAUGAUGGUUAGCUGGUCUGAGAGGAUGGCCAUUCACACUGGAACUGAGAUACGGUCCAGACUCCUACGGGAGGCAGCAGUGAGGAAUCUUGCGCAAUGGGGGAAACCCUGACGCAGCAACGCCGCCUGAGUGAUGAAGGCCUUCGGGUCGUAAAGCUCUGUCAGAUGGGAAGAAUGACGGUACCGUUAAAGGAAGCACCGGCUAACUCCGUGCCAGCAGCCGCGGUAAUACGGAGGGUGCAAGCGUUGUUCGGAAUUAUUGGGCGUAAAGAGCGUGUAGGCGGCCAAGUAAGUCAGAUGUGA